CUGUAAGCCUGUGAAGGUGGCCUGUGAGGGUUGCUGGAGGUAUCAGAAGUGCGAAUGCUGACAUAAGUAACGAUAAAGCGGGUGAAAAGCCCGCUCGCCGGAAGACCAAGGGUUCCUGUCCAACGUUAAUCGGGGCAGGGUGAGUCGACCCCUAAGGCGAGGCCGAAAGGCGUAGUCGAUGGGAAACAGGUUAAUAUUCCUGUACUUGGUGUUACUGCGAAGGGGGGACGGAGAAGGCUAUGUUGGCCGGGCGACGGUUGUCCCGGUUUAAGCGUGUAGGCUGGUUUUCCAGGCAAAUCCGGAAAACCAAGGCUGAGGCGUGAUGACGAGGCACUACGGUGCUGAAGCGACAAAUGCCCUGCUUCCAGGAAAAGCCUCUAAGCAUCAGGUAACAUCAAAUCGUACCCCAAACCGACACAGGUGGUCAGGUAGAGAAUACCAAGGCGCUUGAGAGAACUCGGGUGAAGGAACUAGGCAAAAUGGUGCCGUAACUUCGGGAGAAGGCACGCUGAUAUGUAGGUGAAGCGACUUGCUCGUGGAGCUGAAAUCAGUCGAAGAUACCAGCUGGCUGCAACUGUUUAUUAAAAACACAGCACUGUGCAAACACGAAAGUGGACGUAUACGGUGUGACGCCUGCCCGGUGCCGGAAGGUUAAUUGAUGGGGUUAGCGGUAACGCGAAGCUCUUGAUCGAAGCCCCGGUAAACGGCGGCCGUAACUAUAACGGUCCUAAGGUAGCGAAAUUCCUUGUCGGGUAAGUUCCGACCUGCACGAAUGGCGUAAUGAUGGCCAGGCUGUCUCCACCCGAGACUCAGUGAAAUUGAACUCGCUGUGAAGAUGCAGUGUACCCGCGGCAAGACGGAAAGACCCCGUGAACCUUUACUAUAGCUUGACACUGAACAUUGAGCCUUGAUGUGUAGGAUAGGUGGGAGGCUUUGAAGUGUGGACGCCAGUCUGCAUGGAGCCGACCUUGAAAUACCACCCUUUAAUGUUUGAUGUUCUAACGUUGGCCCCUAAUCGGGGUUGCGGACAGUGUCUGGUGGGUAGUUUGACUGGGGCGGUCUCCUCCUAAAGAGUAACGGAGGAGCACGAAGGUUGGCUAAUCCUGGUCGGACAUCAGGAGGUUAGUGCAAUGGCAUAAGCCAGCUUGACUGCGAGCGUGACGGCGCGAGCAGGUGCGAAAGCAGGUCAUAGUGAUCCGGUGGUUCUGAAUGGAAGGGCCAUCGCUCAACGGAUAAAAGGUACUCCGGGGAUAACAGGCUGAUACCGCCCAAGAGUUCAUAUCGACGGCGGUGUUUGGCACCUCGAUGUCGGCUCAUCACAUCCUGGGGCUGAAGUAGGUCCCAAGGGUAUGGCUGUUCGCCAUUUAAAGUGGUACGCGAGCUGGGUUUAGAACGUCGUGAGACAGUUCGGUCCCUAUCUGCCGUGGGCGCUGGAGAACUGAGGGGGGCUGCUCCUAGUACGAGAGGACCGGAGUGGACGCAUCACUGGUGUUCGGGUUGUCAUGCCAAUGGCACUGCCCGGUAGCUAAAUGCGGAAGAGAUAAGUGCUGAAAGCAUCUAAGCACGAAACUUGCCCCGAGAUGAGUUCU
rnacentral:rRNA from 1 species